rnacentral:rRNA from 1 species
AUUGAACGCUGGCGGCAGGCUUAACACAUGCAAGUCGAGCGGAGAUGAGGUGCUUGCACCUUAUCUUAGCGGCGGACGGGUGAGUAAUGCUUAGGAAUCUGCCUAUUAGUGGGGGACAACAUUCCGAAAGGAAUGCUAAUACCGCAUACGCCCUACGGGGGAAAGCAGGGGAUCUUCAGACCUUGCGCUAAUAGAUGAGGCUAAGUCGGAUUGGCUAGUUGGUGGGGUAAAGGCCUACCAAGGCGACGAGCUGUAGCGGGUCUGAGAGGAUGAUCCGCCACACUGGGACGGAGACACGGCCCAGACUCCUACGGGAGGCAGCAGUGGGGAAUAUUGGACAAUGGGCGGAAGCCUGAUCCAGCCAUGCAGCGUGUGUGAAGAAGGCCUUUUGGUUGUAAAGCACUUUAAGCGAGGAGGAGGCUACCUGGAUUAAUACUCUAGGAUAGUGGACGUUACUCGCAGAAUAAGCACCGGCUAACUCUGUGCCAGCAGCCGCGGUAAGAC